rnacentral:tRNA from 1 species
GGAUCAUUAGCUCAGCCCGGUUAGAGCACUUGCUCGACAUGCAAGGGGUCACUGGUUCGAAUCCAGUAUGAUCCACCA